AUAACAUUACGAUCAUAUUCAUUUUUAAACCUUUUUUCCACAUUAUUGUUUCUACAGAUACCAUUUACUCAUGCAGAAGGACCAUGCAUAAUCACAUCAGUGAGUUCUCAAAGCCCUUCAACGCUUCAUGUAAAAUGGGAUCAUUAUCUCGGGGCAACAAAUUAUUUUUUGGACAUACGAGUUAUCAACUCGACAGACAUUGCACCUGUUGUGUUGACGUUACCGGGGUCCACCAAAGAAACGGACGUUCACGGUUUACGGCCAGGAGCCCACUACAGCGUGACCCUUAAAGUCUUCCAAUAUUACUUUGUAGUAUGCCACGUUACGCAAGAGGCGUCCACAGGUAAGCAUCCACGUUCAGUAGGACUUGAAAAUAUAAAGAACACAAAUCAAGUUAUUCAAUUCGAGUAUUUUAACGUGUACGUUAGUCGUACUCAACAGCAAUGUUUUGUUGUUAUUAUUCAAAUGAACAGUUACGCACAUACCUAUAAUAAGCAUGCAACACGCCUAGCAGUGUCAUUGAAAUGCCUUUGCACUCGUCUUCUUUCUAGUGCCCGCAACCUCCCAGAUAAUAUACCGGAGGGCACUGACCAGUACAAGCGUUCGGCUAGAGUGGGCACGUGUCCCGACCACGGACACAUACAUCGUCUUGAUGGAAGGACAGGCUGGACAGAAUCACCAAAUGAUUUUGAGAAAUACCAGCGUGGUAUUCACCGGACUGGAGCCCAGGACAGUGUACAACUGCUCCGUAUUCACCGAGAACGAGGCCGGCAGGGGGCUUCGGAGCGCUCUGAAACCCAUCUUGACACGUAAGUGGGGGCUUCGUUGUUGAACUCUAAAGCUGGGGGGGGGGUUUUUUCUCUCUGCAUGGGAUAUUUGUCACAGUCAAAUAUUACAAUUGUUAGCACUUUAUUAAUCUUGUAAGAAAACAAAAAAGAUAAUUAAGUGUAGGCUACACUCUUAGAUAUGGAUAUCAAUAGGUUCCUAUCUCAAUUUGAAUCGAUCAUUGUGUGAUUGAUUGAGGGGAAUGGUACAAUGUGUAGCAACUGAUUCAAACACUCCAUCUGUCCCUGUCUCAGUUGCGCCACCCCCAAACGAUAUCGUCGUGCGGCAGAACGGCCGCCAGAGAGCCCGAGUGUCGUGGCAGCCAGUGGAUCGCGUUCUGCUGUAUCGAGUCACAAUCCGGAACCAAGACCAGCCAAACAGUGAACCAAUGGUGGCAAACGCAACGGCUCCCUAUCUGGACUUUGACACCCUGUUAUGUACCACCUAUGACAUCUCUGUGUCCUCGUUCCACCGAUUCCUGCUGCCCGGAGAGCCCAACGAUGUCUCAUUCACCAGCGACGGUGAGUCAGGGCCAGGGCCAAUAUCAAUAACUGUGCGAUUAGAAUCUAGGUCAGCCUUUCAUUCCG
rnacentral:lncRNA from 1 species